rnacentral:rRNA from 1 species
GACGAACGCUGGCGGCGUGCUUAACACAUGCAAGUCGAACGAGUGGCGGACGGGUGAGUAAUGCCUGGGAAUCUCGCCUAUGGAGGGGGAUCACUACGGGAAACUGUAGCUAAUACCGCGUACCAUAGGAUGAGCCCAAGUGGGAUUAGGUAGUAGGUGUGGUAAAGGCUCCCCCAGCCGACGAUCUCUAGCUGGUCUGAGAGGAUGACCAGCCACACUGGGACUGAGACACGGCCCAGACUCCUACGGGAGGCAGCAGUGGGGAAUAGUGCACAAUGGGGGCAACCUGACGCAGCCAUGCCGCGUGUAUGAAGAAGGCCUUCGGGUUGUAAAGUUCUUUCGGUGGCGAGGCGUUAACUACAGAAGAAGCACCGGCUAACUAAGUGCCAGCAGCCGCGGUAAUUC